UGCGGGUACUUGUGACUAUUGCAUUUUGUUCUUCAGUCCUUUGAUGUGAAUGCUUUGAAAGUUUAUCAGUGAACAAGAAAUCACCAAGUCACCAGCACAAAGUGAUCACCAGCUCUCAUCCAGCCCUGAUGUGAGAGACAGGAGAGGAAUCUGCAGAACACCCAGGAAACUGGAAGGCCUCUGAAAUGUUGCCAUUCUGACCCUGUCAACCCCUACAUCCCUGAAAUUCUUUCCAUUCAUUACCUACGUGGGAGACAAUCUUCUCUAAGCUGACACCAGCUUGCUCUGUGGAUGAAAUUUUCAAAUCAAAAUAUCGGGACAAACAUGUGCGUGAGCGAAAACACCACACCUUUUCCUCAAGAAGGAUUCAGCUUUGAUGGAGCUGUUGAUCACUCUCAAAGCAUGUCAUUGUUGCUGGGCAGGGUAGUCACUGCAGUCUAUGACUCAGACCCCCUCACUUGAAGCCACUGCCCAAGAAAGUGAUCAGCCGGGAUCAAAGGGCAACUUUCGAGGGAGGAAAAAUAGAGCAAAUAAAUUGUAUGACUAUGACUCAAUACAUUCUCAUUGCAAUUAGUUUAUUAGCACAAUGCCUGAUAGCACAGCUCUUGUUAAGGGUUUCCACGAGAAAAUGAAUCUCGGUUUAAUUGCCUCAAGCCGGGGGCAUGGGCUCUGGUUGUUUUUUUGUCUGCUCUGAAACUCACCAAACUGAUUAAUUUUGGUAAAAAUAAAUUCAUUUCUGGGCAGACACAGU
rnacentral:lncRNA from 1 species